rnacentral:rRNA from 1 species
UACGGGGGGGGCAAGCGUUGUUCGGAAUUACUGGGCGUAAAGGGCUCGUAGGUGGCCAACUAAGUCAGACGUGAAAUCCCUCGGCUUAACCGGGGAACUGCGUCUGAUACUGGAUGGCUUGAGGUUGGGAGAGGGAUGCGGAAUUCCAGGUGUAGCGGUGAAAUGCGUAGAUAUCUGGAGGAACACCGGUGGCGAAGGCGGCAUCCUGGACCAAUUCUGACACUGAGGAGCGAAAAGCCAGGGGAGCAAACGGGG